rnacentral:rRNA from 1 species
UACGUAGGGUGCAAGCGUUAAUCGGAAUUACUGGGCGUAAAGCGUGCGCAGGCGGUUUUGUAAGUCUGUCGUGAAAUCCCCGGGCUCAACCUGGGAAUUGCGAUGGAGACUGCAAGGCUAGAAUCUGUCAGAGGGGGGUAGAAUUCCACGUGUAGCAGUGAAAUGCGUAGAGAUGUGGAGGAAUACCGAUGGCGAAGGCAGCCCCCUGGGAUAACACUGACGCUCAUGCACGAAAGCGUGGGGAGCAAACAGG